rnacentral:tRNA from 1 species
GGUGGAAUGGCUCAGUUGGUAAAGCAGUUGCCUUGCAAGCAUGAGGACCUGGGUUUGAUUUCCCAGUCUUGCUC